UACGUAGGGUGCAAGCGUUGUCCGGAAUCAUUGGGCGUAAAGCGCGCGUAGGUGGCUUCGUAAGUCCGUUGUGAAAGUCAAAGGCUCAACCUUUGAAUGCCGAUGGAUACUGCGAAGCUAGAGUACGGAAGAGGCGAGUGGAAUUCCUGGUGUAGCGGUGGAAUGCGCAGAUAUCAGGAGGAACACCAAUAGCGAAGGCAGCUCGCUGGGACGGUACUGACGCUGAGACGCGAAAGCGCGGGGAGCGAACAGG
rnacentral:rRNA from 1 species